rnacentral:rRNA from 1 species
GAUGAACGCUGGCGGCGUGCCUAAUACAUGCAAGUCGAGCGAACAGACGAGGAGCUUGCUCCUUUGACGUUAGCGGCGGACGGGUGAGUAACACGUGGGUAACCUACCUAUAAGACUGGGAUAACUUCGGGAAACCGGAGCUAAUACCGGAUAAUAUUUCGAACCGCAUGGUUCGAUAGUGAAAGAUGGCUCCGCUAUCACUUAUAGAUGGACCUGCGCCGUAUUAGCUAGUUGGUAAGGUAACGGCUUACCAAGGCAACGAUACGUAGCCGACCUGAGAGGGUGAUCGGCCACACUGGAACUGAGACACGGUCCAGACUCCUACGGGAGGCAGCAGUAGGGAAUCUUCCGCAAUGGGCGAAAGCCUGACGGAGCAACGCCGCGUGAGUGAUGAAGGUCUUCGGAUCGUAAAACUCUGUUAUUAGGGAAGAACAAACGUGUAAGUAACUGUGCACGUCUUGACGGUACCUAAUCAGAAAGCCACGGCUAACUACGUG